rnacentral:lncRNA from 1 species
UUUGGACCAGGAAUAAUAUGAGACAUUACUGUCUAUUUCUAGCCUAGCUGUGGCACCAGCACAACAAGCCGCAUGUUGCACGAUAAUGAGGAAAAGUGAUUUCUGCUCUGGUAAAUGAUGUGGUCUCUGUAUUGUCCACACAAAGCAAACAAGAGCGUGGCCUUUUUAGGUCUCCCAUGAAAAUGGACACAAAGAAACACACUGUUGUUUUCAAUUUUAAAUUUAUUAAAGAGUAAAAGAUGUUCUGUGAGAAGUACUGACAAAUAUCUGUUUCAAAACCAAUGGGAAGCAUGUCUUUACGGCAUUUUAAAAUCGUCUUCCAACCCUAGAAAAGGGUUUUGCUUGAGGAAUUUUAAAAAGAAACAUUUUACUCAGCUGAUGAGUGGCCUGUUCAAACUUAGUUUUUCAUUAGUGCGUUAUGUUUUUAUUUCCCGUUGAAUGUUGCAACUGGAGUUACAUGGAAGUUCAUCCAAGAUUCUAUCUGUCUUCUACUGGACGAUUAAGCUCCUAAUAAACUCAGGUAAUGUAUUUCUAAUUUGGUUCCA